GUUUAGGGGUGGACUUGGCAGUGCUGGGGGAACGGUUGGACUUGAUGAUCUGAGAGGGCUUUUCCCACCCGAGCAAGGUCAUGAUUCCAUGAUUUUAAGGAGGAGAGGAGCUGUAGUUUGGCCAGAGCUUCACAGCACCUUCAAACUUCCCUCGUCUGAACCUCUUCUUCCUUCUUUGUCCCUUCAUCACGUCCUUCAGCACGACAUUCCCGGCUCCUUUCCUUUAGUUGUCAUUGUCAAAUGCAAUUAGUGGUAAUUAAAGGAGACAGAAAGUCCAUAAGAGUGUCCUGGAAGCAAGGGCAGGAGUUUGGGAAUGGUUGGUUGAGCGUAUGGGGCGACCAUCCUGUCCUUCCAUCCUCCAUCCCUUUGCCUUUGGCUGCACAAGACCCAGAGCUGGAAUAACCAGGAUGGUGUGGAAUGACCAGGAUGGUGUGGAAUGACCAGGAAGAUGUGGAAUGACCAGGAAGGUGUGGAAUGACCGGGAAGGUGUGGAAUGACCAGGAUGGUGUGGAAUGACCAGGAAGGUGUGGAAUGACCAGGAAGGUGUGGAACGACCAGGAAGGUGUGGAAUGACCAGGAUGGUGUGGAAUGACCAGUAAGGUGUGGAAUGACCAGGACGGUUGGAAUGAUCCAGGGAG